ensembl:snRNA U2 U2 spliceosomal RNA
AUCGCUUCUCUGCCUUUUGGCUAAGAUCAGGUGUAGUGUUUGCUCUUAUCAGUAUCCCUAUAUAUCAUUGUUAUCAUUAUUAUAUCAGAAAAUAGUGAUACUCAGUAAGCCUACUAUGAAAUCUUA